rnacentral:tmRNA from 2 species
GGGGGCGUACCGGUUUCGACUGGGUGUGUCAGCUUGGGGCAGCAUGUCGAGGAUGGUUCGUCGGCCUCGUUAAUAAGCGGACCACACAUAAUUGCUAACGAAGAAUUAGCUCUUGCAGCAUAAAUAAUGCUACAACGUUCACCUCCUGACGCCUACUAGGGAGACUGAGCGCCGACAGCAGGCUUAGGUCCUUUGACGGAGAAAGCGCGGCCCUGGACCAAAAUUUUUCAUGCUUUCUAGGAAACUGGCCGCGCCGUCGGAACGUAAACCAGCCUCCGAAAUCUGCUUUCCGAAUAAACAUGUAGAUACUCCAGGACUACAGGCCUUAGGACGCGGGUUCAACUCCCGCCGCCUCCACCA